rfam:Triticum aestivum genome assembly, contig: Triticum_aestivum_CS42_TGACv1_scaffold_644249_T_3DS-0.097485_4AL-0.076057
AUACUACUCCCUCCGCCCGGAAAAGCUUGUCCCAAACAUGUUUCUCAAACGGAUGUAUCUAGCACUAAUUUGGUGCUACAUACAUCCAUUUAAGGAACAAGUUUUUUGGACGGAGGGAGUACUUC